UACGAAGGGGGCUAGCGUUGCUCGGAAUUACUGGGCGUAAAGGGCGCGUAGGCGGAUGUUUAAGUCGGGGGGUGAAAGCCCGGGGCUCAACCUCGGAAUUGCCUUCGAUACUGGACAUCUUGAGUCCGGGAGAGGUGAGUGGAACUGCGAGUGUAGAGGUGAAAUUCGUAGAUAUUCGCAAGAACACCAGUGGCGAAGGCGGCUCACUGGCCCGGUACUGACGCUGAGGUGCGAAAGCGUGGGGAGCAAACAGG
rnacentral:rRNA from 1 species